GCCGCGAUCGCCUAACCUGGUAUGGCACUGGCCUUGAAAGCCAGGCCCGAAAGGGCUUCUGGGUUCAAAUCCCAGUCGCGGCG
rnacentral:tRNA from 1 species